AUUGAACGCUGGCGGCAUGCUUUACACAUGCAAGUCGAACGGUAACAGGCCUUCGGGUGCUGACGAGUGGCGAACGGGUGAGUAAUGCAUCGGAACGUGCCCAGAGGUGGGGGAUAACGCAGCGAAAGCUGUGCUAAUACCGCAUGUGAUCUGAGGAUGAAAGCGGGGGACCAGGCAGCAAUGUUUGGCCUCGCGCCUUUGGAGCGGCCGAUUUCAGAUUAGGUAGUUGGUGGGGUAAAGGCCUACCAAGCCGACGAUCUGUAGCUGGUCUGAGAGGACGACCGGCCACACUGGGACUGAGACACGGCCCAGACUCCUACGGGAGGCAGCAGUGGGGAAUUUUGGACAAUGGGCGCAAGCCUGAUCCAGCAAUGCCGCGUGCGGGAAGAAGGCCUUCGGGUUGUAAACCGCUUUUGUACGGAACGAAAAGGCUCUGGCUAAUACCUGGGGCUGAUGACGGUACCGUAAGAAUAAGCACCGGCUAACUACGUG
rnacentral:rRNA from 1 species